rnacentral:rRNA from 1 species
AGCGAACGCUGGCGGCAGGCCUAACACAUGCAAGUCGGACGGUAACCUUCAGCCGCUUGCGGCAGUCGUGAGAAUAGCACGAGGGGACGUUCAUUUCUGGUCAAAACCACGCUGGGAGGGGGGAACUACUAGCGGAUGCACCUUAUACCGGAUAGGUUUACUGACGAAGGAUCGGCGCGCGUCUGAUUAGUUGGUAUGUGGGGUAACGCCCUAUCAAGGCGACGAUCAGUAGCUGGCCUGAGAGGAUGAUCAGCCACACUGGGACUGAGACACGGCCCAGACUCCUACGGGAGGCAGCAGUGGGGAAUAUUGGACAACGGGCGCAAGCCUGAUCCAGCCAUGCCGCGUGAGUGAUGAAGGCCUUAGGGUUGUAAAGCUCUUUUGUCCGGGACGAUAAUGACGGUACCGGAAGAAUAAGCCCCGGCUAACUUCGUG